GAGAAGAACGCAGCGAAAUGCGAUAAGUAAUGUGAAUUGCAGAAUUCAGUGAAUCAUCGAAUCUUUGAACGCACAUUGCGCCCGCCAGUAUUCUGGCGGGCAUGCCUGUUCGAGCGUCAUUUCAACCAUCAAGCCCCAGGCUUGUGUUGGGGACCUGCGGCUGCCGCAGGCCCUGAAAACCAGUGGCGGGCUCGCUGUCACACCGGGCGUAGUAGAUUUUAUCUCGCUCAGGGCGUGCUGCGGGUUCCGGCCGUUAAAAAGCCUUUUUUACCCAAGGUUGACCUCGGAUCAGGUAGGAAGACCCGCUGAACUUAAGCAUAUCAAUAAGCGGAGGA
rnacentral:misc_RNA from 1 species